rnacentral:rRNA from 1 species
CAGAAGCGUAUAUUAAUGUUGUUGCAGUUAAAACGCUCGUAGUUGGAUUUUGGAGGACGGGAAGGGUGCUGCCCGGCUAAAGCCGAGUACGGACCCACCGCCUCUGUAGUUGGCGGCGACGCACGCGGGGCCUUAAUUGGUUGCCGGGUGAGCUGGAGGGGUAAUACCCGAAGGCGAGGCCGCGGGCGCGGGUUAACGCUCGGUCGCACGUGGCAGCGUUCCGCCUCAUUUACUUUGAAAAAAAUAGAGUGCUCAAAGCAGGCCUCGGGGCCAUUGAAUAAUUCAGCAUGGGAUAAUAGAACACGAGAUUGGAUGUCGUUUUGUUGGUACAGCGAUUCUAAACUAAUGAUUAAAAGGGACCGUCGGGGUGGUUUGUAUUGGGGAGCUAGAGGUGAAAUUCUUGGAUUUCCUCAAGACAAACAACUGCGAAAGCAAUCUACUAGGAGGUUCUCAUUAA